rnacentral:rRNA from 1 species
CUCCUUUGACGUUAGUGGCGGACGGGUGAGUAACACGUGGGUAACCUACCUAUAAGACUGGGAUAACUUCGGGAAACCGGAGCUAAUACCGGAUAAUAUUUCGAACCGCAUGGUUCGAUAGUGAAAGGUGGUUUUGCUAUCACUUAUAGAUGGACCCGCGCCGUAUUAGCUAGUUGGUAAGGUAACGGCUUACCAAGGCGACGAUACGUAGCCGACCUGAGAGGGUGAUCGGCCACACUGGAACUGAUACACGGUCCAGACUCCUACGGGAGGCAGCAGGU